CAAAAGAAUGUCGAGCAACGGAGAGACUAUGGAGUACAUGAAUGAAGAUUCGUUUCAAAAGGUGAAGCAGAAGAUAGUGGACCGGUCUAAGAAAGUGGCUCAAACAAAAGAGUUGUUGUCGAAACAAGCGGAUCAGAUGAAGGAGAUCCUCUCCAAGGUUCAUUAACAAGGACCCCAAGAUAUUCCCAAUGUGUAUUGCUUAUUCUAUAUAAUUUUUGUUCCUCUCCGGUGGAUGUACUAUCGGUUCAUGAAAUGACAUUACUAUCUUUUGUGGUUUUCAAUGAUGAAUUUCAUUUGGUUUGGUGGAAAGGCUGUGAUCAAAGACAACAAUUUGCAACCAGUAUCACAUCUCUUUCUUUCUCUCUUACAAACUCUGUCUUUUACUUUUUCAUUCCUGUACAAGAUAAAAUUUUCACUCCCAAUAUCUUUGGGAUUAUAUUUGUAUUUUGUGGUGAGAACCUAGAAAAUUUAAAA